rnacentral:rRNA from 1 species
AGUGAACGCUGGCGGCAGGCCUAACACAUGCAAGUCGAACGGCAGCACAGUAAGAGCUUGCUCUUACGGGUGGCGAGUGGCGGACGGGUGAGGAAUACAUCGGAAUCUUCUUUUUCGUGGGGGAUAACGUAGGGAAACUUACGAUAAUACCGCAUAUGAUGUACGGGUGAAAGCAGUGGAUCUUCGGACCUUUCGCGAUUGAAUGAGCCGAUGUCGGAUUAGCUAGUUGGCGGGGUAAAGGCCCACCAAGGCGACGAUCCGUAGCUGGUCUGAGAGGAUGAUCAGCCACACUGGAACUGAGACACGGUCCAGACUCCUACGGGAGGCAGCAGUGGGGAAUAUUGGACAAUGGGCGCAAGCCUGAUCCAGCCAUACCGCGUGGGUGAAGAAGGCCUUCGGGUUGUAAAGCCCUUUUGUUGGGAAAGAAAAGCAGCAGGUUAAUACCCCGCUGUUCUGACGGUACCCAAAGAAUAAGCACCGGCUAACUUCGUG